AACGAACGCUGGCGGCAGGCUUAACACAUGCAAGUCGAGCGCCCCGCAAGGGGAGCGGCAGACGGGUGAGUAACGCGUGGGAACAUACCCUUUCCUGCGGAAUAGCCCUGGGAAACUGGAAUUAAUACCGCAUACGCCCUACGGGGGAAAGAUUUAUCGGGGAAGGAUUGGCCCGCGUUGGAUUAGCUAGUUGGUGGGGUAAAGGCCUACCAAGGCGACGAUCCAUAGCUGGUCUGAGAGGAUGAUCAGCCACAUUGGGACUGAGACACGGCCCAAACUCCUACGGGAGGCAGCAGUGGGGAAUAUUGGACAAUGGGCGCAAGCCUGAUCCAGCCAUGCCGCGUGAGUGAUGAAGGCCUUAGGGUUGUAAAGCUCUUUCACCGGGGAAGAUAAUGACGGUAUCCGGAGAAGAAGCCCCGGCUAACUUCGUGCCAGCAGCCGCCGCGG
rnacentral:rRNA from 1 species